GAUUCUCUUGAGAUAUUAUUGCCCAACGAGUUUUCGUCACGACGAUAGUAUUCUCAAGUCGGAUCAAUGACUCUAGAGACCUUUUAACCCACUAUAUCCGGCGGUUAUGUAGUAUUUACCUGAAAAGUCCCAGACUUUUUGGGUUAAUAUGAAAGCCCCAAUCAGAUGAGAUCCCUUGGACCUAUUAUUACCUUACAGUAAUAUUUCCAACCUCGAUCUAUGACUUUGAGAACCUUGUUAGAACCUUGGACUCGAGAGUUGUGUAGUAGAAUCCCCAUGGAGUUUUCCUUGUUGGGACAAUACGAAGACCUCACCUAGACGAGAUCAUCUUAAGGAUAUUAUUGUCCGACGAGUCUUCGUCACAGCAGUGACGUCCUCAAGAAAUAUCCAUGGCUUUGGGAACCUACCAACUGUAGAGCCUACCCAUGAGGUUCCAUUAAUCAGAGAUACCUGUCAUUUACCCGUUAUGCUGAUUCAUCUGAGAACACUUUGAACCUCUCAUCCUAAGCAUGUCACUACCUUCAUACACAUAUCAUUGCAUUUGCAUUCAUUAUCAUACAUUUCAUAUCAUUUUCUGC
rnacentral:lncRNA from 1 species